rnacentral:rRNA from 1 species
UAUAGAUGGAUCCGCGCUGCAUUAGCUAGUUGGUAAGGUAACGGCUUACCAAGGCAACGAUGCAUAGCCGACCUGAGAGGGUGAUCGGCCACACUGGAACUGAGACACGGUCCAGACUCCUACGGGAGGCAGCAGUAGGGAAUCUUCCGCAAUGGGCGAAAGCCUGACGGAGCAACGCCGCGUGAGUGAUGAAGGUCUUCGGAUCGUAAAACUCUGUUAUUAGGGAAGAACAUAUGUGUAAGUAACUGUGCACAUCUUGACGGUACCUAAUCAGAAAGCCACGGCUAACUACGUGCCAGCAGCCGCGGUAAUACGUAGGUGGCAAGCGUUAUCCGGAAUUAUUGGGCGUAAAGC